UACAGAGGGGGCAAGCGUUGUUCGGAAUUAUUGGGCGUAAAGAGCUCGUAGGCGGUCUGUCGCGUCGGAUGUGAAAACCCAGGGCUCAACCCUGGGCCUGCAUUCGAUACGGGCAGACUAGAGUUCGGUAGGGGAGACUGGAAUUCCUGGUGUAGCGGUGAAAUGCGCAGAUAUCAGGAGGAACACCAAUUGCGAAGGCAGCUCGCUGGGACGUUACUGACGCUGAGACGCGAAAGCGUGGGGAGCAAACAGG
rnacentral:rRNA from 1 species